GGUUAUUACAGGUUUGUAUCUAAGGGUUAGUGUCAGGUUAUUACAGGUUUGUAUCUAAGGGUUAGGGUUAGGUUAUUACAGGUUUGUAUCUAAGGGUUAGUGUCAGGUUAUUACAGGUUUGUAUCUAAGGGUUAGGUUAUUACAGGUUUGUAUCUAAGGGUUAGGUUAUUACAGGUUUGUAUCUAAGGGUUAGGGUUAGGUUAUUACAGGUUUGUAUCUAAG